rnacentral:rRNA from 1 species
AGUUCGGAUUGUAGGCUGAAACUACGCCUACAUGAAGCUGGAAUUGCUAGUAAUCACAGGUCAGCAUACUGUGGUGAAUACGUUCCCGGGCCUUGUACACACCGCCCGUCACACCAUGAGAGUUGAGAAUACCCGAAGCCCAUGUCAAAGUGGUCGAAGGUAGGCUUGAUGAUUGGGGUGAAGUCGUAACAAGGUACC